CACGCGCAAAUGGAAUAAGAUAAUUAUCCCAUGACAUUUAUGCUAUUUAGUGAAUUUUUCCUACCAAUGUUAGCGCACUGUAGCUGUUUAUGUAUUUAUAGGAAUUUUAAAGAUAUAAAAAAUGCACGGAAUAAUAAAAUUCGUCAUACCAAAUAUUUAAUGUUCAAAUAUUUCAUGCAUAAAAUUAAUUUCGUUUCUUUAGUUCUCUGCACGAAAAGAACGAGGGCAUAUGAGAAAGAAGAUAAUACAAAGAGAAAAGCGAGUUUUUAUUCAAAUUUGAAUUCUGGAAAUUAAUGGCAUAAGCAUUAACGCGUUUGCAAUUUAUUUGUAACACGAUUUAUAGGGAAAUAAUUCCACUGAUUAGAUCAUUUACAUAACAAUCGUCAAAAAUAUUUUAAAACACAAUACCUUGAGAAGACAAU
rnacentral:misc_RNA from 1 species